CCCUUAGAUGUUCUGGGCCGCACGCGCGCUACACUGAUGCAUUCAACGAGCCUAUCCUUGACCGACAGGUCCGGGUAAUCUUUGAAUCUGCAUCGUGACGGGGAUAGAUUAUUGCAAUUGUUAAUCUUCAACGAGGAAUGCCUAGUAGGCGCAAGUCAUCAGCUUGCGUCGAUUACGUCCCUGCCCUUUGUACACACCGCCCGUCGCUCCUACCGAUUGGGUGUGCUGGUGAAAUGUUCGGAUCGGCCGUUUGUCGCGGUUUCCGCGUCAUGUGGCUGAGAAGUUCAUUAAACCCUCCCACCUAGAGGAAGGAGAAGUCGUAACA
rnacentral:rRNA from 1 species